AAUGAACGUUGGCGGCGUGGAUUAGGCAUGCAAGUCGUACGAGAAUCGUAGCUAUACGAGGAAAGUGGCGGAAGGGAGAGGAUUACGUGGGAAUCUACCCUCGGAACUGGGAUAGCGGCGGGAAACUGCCGGUAAUACCAGAUAAUGUCUGUGGACCAAAGGUGUGAUUCCGUCUGGGGAAGAGCCAACGUCCUAUUAGCUAGUUGGCAGGGUAAUGGCCUACCAAGGCAAUGAUGGGUAGCGGGUGUGAGAGCAUGACCCGCCUCACUGGGACUGAGAACUGCCCAGACACCUACGGGUGGCUGCAGUCGAGAAUCUUCGGCAAUGAGCGCAAGCUUGACCGAGCGACGCCGCGUGCGGGAUGAAGGCCUUCGGGUUGUAAACCGCUGUCGUAGGGGAGCAAGAGAUGAGGGUACUCCCUCUGAUUUGAGCGAUCCUAGGAGGAAGGACGGGCUAAGUUCGUGCCAGCCGCCGCCGUAAGAC
rnacentral:rRNA from 1 species